rnacentral:lncRNA from 1 species
UGGUGAAUUUGCUCGAGUUGAAAAAAAUCCUUCUAUUCAUUAGUUUUAGAAGAAGAACAUUAAGUAUUAAAAUAAUUAAGUAAUAUCUAACGUGAAAAUGAAUAGGGGCAACAUGCUAGAUCGAUGACUUACAUUGGAGAAACGAAAACAAUUUCCUGCAAGAUUAAUUGAAAAUUCAGGGUCAAUAAAGAAAAUAAUUCUUGCUAAUUCAAUUAAAAUUAUGAAUAAUUGGAGGAGAUUAUAAAAUAACAAUAAAGAUCCAUUAGGAAUGAUUAAAUUAUGUAUGUUAAUGAUUGAGGUACGAUGAAAUGAUUGACACUUCCACUUAAUUAGAGAAUUUAUGGAUUUGUCUCUAAGUGUAAGUCAUAAUAUAAUUGUUAUUGACCCACUUUUGACUAAUAUAGAUUUUUCUAACUACUAAUAAAUAAUGUAAAAGGAAAAAAACAAUAAGAAGUGAUAUAUGUGAAAUUGUUCAAUUUGAUAAAAACCUUUAAAAAAAUAAUAUUUUUUGUAAUUUGUAAUCUAAAAUACUUUUUGAUAAUUUGUAUGACUGUAAUUCAUUUCUUUAAGAGUAAAUGGAAAAUUUUACGAAAAUGUGACAUUCUUUUUGGAACGGAUUAAAAAGAAAUACGUGUCACACAAAUUGAAACAAAAAAAAUAUUAUAUUUAAAAUGUAACAUUUGUCAUCUUUUAAAUAAAAUAAACUAUAUGCUAUAAUAGGUAAAUAUAAAAUAAUGGUAUAACAAUUGCAUAUACUAACAUGUGUAUAACUCAAGUAUUUUGACAAUUGAGUUCUAAAAACUAACAAGAAAAAGAGAUUUUUACCAAGGACACCAAAAACAAAUGCCCAAUGACCAGAAAUAGCCAUCUCUUUUUCUUUUCUCAAAAUGAAAAUUUCUCUCUUUGUUAAUCUCUCAGUUACAAAGAAUUGCAAGUACUUGAUUGAUAAUGAAAUGAGGAGUGCUCACUUCACAUAUUUAUAUAGCAAGGCUACAAGUAUAUAAUAUUAUUGGAUAUAUAUGUUCUAUAGUUCUCCAAUUUAAAUUUUUAUUUCAAUUAGUGCUUU